rnacentral:sRNA from 1 species
UUCCCAUCUCCGCCUUCUCUUCCACCUCGUCCACCUCCAUAGCCACGUUUUCGACACC